AGGGGGGCUAUACUGCAGUCGAACGAACUUCCGUUAAUUGAUUAUGACGUACUUGUACUGAUUGAGAUUUUAACACGAAGUGAGUGGCGAACGGGUGAGUAACACGUGGGUAACCUGCCCAGAAGUAGGGGAUAACACCUGGAAACAGAUGCUAAUACCGUAUAACAGAGAAAACCGCAUGGUUUUCUUUUAAAAGAUGGCUCUGCUAUCACUUCUGGAUGGACCCGCGGCGUAUUAGCUAGUUGGUGAGGUAAAGGCUCACCAAGGCAGUGAUACGUAGCCGACCUGAGAGGGUAAUCGGCCACAUUGGGACUGAGACACGGCCCAGACUCCUACGGGAGGCAGCAGUAGGGAAUCUUCCACAAUGGACGCAAGUCUGAUGGAGCAACGCCGCGUGAGUGAAGAAGGGUUUCGGCUCGUAAAGCUCUGUUGUUAAAGAAGAACGUGGGUAAGAGUAACUGUUUACCCAGUGACGGUAUUUAACCAGAAAGCCACGGCUAACUACGUGCCAGCAGCCGCGGUAAUACGUAGGUGGCAAGCGUUAUCCGGAUUUAUUGGGCGUAAAGCGAGCGCAGGCGGUCUUUUAAGUCUAAUGUGAAAGCCUUCGGCUCAACCGAAGAAGUGCAUUGGAAACUGGGAGACUUGAGUGCAGAAGAGGACAGUGGAACUCCAUGUGUAGCGGUGAAAUGCGUAGAUAUAUGGAAGAACACCAGUGGCGAAGGCGGCUGUCUGGUCUGCAACUGACGCUGAGGCUCGAAAGCAUGGGUAGCGAACAGGAUUAGAUACCCUGGUAGUCCAUGCCGUAAACGAUGAUUACUAAGUGUUGGAGGGUUUCCGCCCUUCAGUGCUGCAGCUAACGCAUUAAGUAAUCCCGCCUGGGGGAGUACGACCGCAAGGGUUGAAACUCAAAAGAAUUGACGGGGGCCCGCACAAGCGGUGGGAGCAUGUGGUUUAAUUCGAACUACGCGAAGAACCUUUACCAGGUCGUGACUCUUCUGACAGUCAAAGAGAUUAGAGUUUCCUUUCGGGACAGAAUGACAGGUGAGUGCAUGGGUUGUCGUCAGCUUCGUGCCUGGC
rnacentral:rRNA from 1 species